AUGCUCCUUAUCCAGAUGAUUGGGUGGAUACUGCUUUUGCCCCUCAGGGGAAACCCAGAGGUCCUCUUGGUGAAUUACCAAAGUGGAGUCCUGUUCCUGAGCCUGGGCUGGAUGCCAGAGGUCCUGAGAAAUGGAAAGAGGCAUCGAAAACUGGAAAAUAUCCGCAGAGGCUCUCCCAUGUCCUGAAGAAAAUGAUGAAGGAGAAGGCAGCACAUGUGCUGUCAGAGCCCCAGAAAGCCCAACACAGCUGGAUCUAUGGUUUUUUUCUGAAGAAUCCAGGUGUGGAUGGUGAAGGACGUGCAAACGCCGAGCAAGUUAAAGAUGCACAGAAGUUGUACCUGGAACUUGCCGCAUCUGUCCCGGUUUCCCUAUUGCUAACGAUGAUUCUGUGCUGUCUUCUUUUCUGGUGGUGCAGGAAGAGAAAGCAGCGGUGGGAGUGGCCCCCCCAAGAUGUCAGCUCAGGGGCUUCAUCAGAAAACUGGAAUACAUCCCACCACUGGGGAAAGAGAUCUGGUCCAGCAGCCCUCAGCAGCCCCAAGCAUGGCAUCUGCCCUACCGCUCCUCUCCGCUAUCCAUCAGGAGGUGGGAGCGGCCCCCAGCAUGUGGGUUUGCAGACACCAUCUGACAUCCACACAUCCACUGCUGGCAUCAAACGGAGUUUUCCAGGCUCCACUGUACCACUAAAUAGAAAGUAGUGGCUUUGGGACACUAUCUAGCAUCCACAGAACCACUACUGUCAUGUACCAGAGAUUAUCAGGCUCCACAAUACCAAUAAACAGAAAAUAGCACCACA
rnacentral:lncRNA from 1 species